GACGUAGGAUGCAAGCGUUGUCCGGAAUUAUUGGGCGUAAAGAGUUCGUAGGCGGUUACUUAAGUCUGGUGUUAAAUACUGACGCUCAACGUCGGCAUGGCAUUGGAAACUGGGUAGCUAGAGUGUGGUAGAGGUCUCGGGAAUUCCAGGUGUAGCGGUGAAAUGCGUAGAUAUCUGGAGGAACACCGGUGGCGAAAGCGCGAGACUGGGCCAUAACUGACGCUGAGGAACGAAAGCCAGGGGAGCGAAAGGG
rnacentral:rRNA from 1 species